GACGGGGGAUGCAAGUGUUAUCCGGAAUCACUGGGCGUAAAGCGUCUGCAGGUGGUUUCCUAAGUCCACUGUUAAACCUUGAGGCUCAACCUCAAAUCUGCAUUGGAAACUAGGAGACUUGAGUAUAGUAGGGGUAGAGGGAAUUUCCAGUGGAGCGGUGAAAUGCGCAGAUAUCAGGAGGAACACCGGUGGCGAAGGCGGGUCUCUGGGCCGAUACUGACGCUGAGGAGCGAAAGCGUGGGGAGCGAACAGG
rnacentral:rRNA from 1 species